rnacentral:rRNA from 1 species
AACGAACGCUGGCGGCAGGCCUAACACAUGCAAGUCGAGCGAGGACUUCGGUCCUAGCGGCGGACGGGUGAGUAACGCGUGGGAACGUGCCCUUUGCUACGGAAUAGCCCUGGGAAACUGGGAGUAAUACCGUAUGCGCCCUUCGGGGGACAGAUUUAUCGGCAAAGGAUCGGCCCGCGUUGGAUUAGGUAGUUGGUGGGGUAAUGGCCUACCAAGCCGACGAUCCAUAGCUGGUUUGAGAGGAUGAUCAGCCACACUGGGACUGAGACACGGCCCAGACUCCUACGGGAGGCAGCAGUGGGGAAUCUUAGACAAUGGGGGAAACCCUGAUCUAGCCAUGCCGCGUGAGCGAUGAAGGCCUUAGGGUUGUAAAGCUCUUUCAGUGGGGAAGAUAAUGACGGUACCCACAGAAGAAGCCCCGGCUAACUCCGUGCCAGCCGCCGCGGUAAGAC